rnacentral:rRNA from 1 species
GACGAACGCUGGCGGCGUGCUUAACACAUGCAAGUCGAGCGAUGAAGCUCCUUCGGGAGUGGAUUAGCGGCGGACGGGUGAGUAACACGUGGGUAACCUGCCUCAUAGAGGGGAAUAGCCUUCCGAAAGGAAGAUUAAUACCGCAUAAGAUUGUAGUUCCGCAUGGGACAGCAAUUAAAGGAGCAAUCCGCUAUGAGAUGGACCCGCGUCGCAUUAGCUAGUUGGUGAGGUAACGGCUCACCAAGGCGACGAUGCGUAGCCGACCUGAGAGGGUGAUCGGCCACAUUGGGACUGAGACACGGCCCAGACUCCUACGGGAGGCAGCAGUGGGGAAUAUUGCACAAUGGGGGAAACCCUGAUGCAGCAACGCCGCGUGAGUGAUGACGGUCUUCGGAUUGUAAAACUCUGUCUUUGGGGACGAUAAUGACGGUACCCAAGGAGGAAGCCACGGCUAACUACGUGCCAGCAGCCGCGGUAAUAC